rnacentral:rRNA from 1 species
CCUACGGGGGGCAGCAGUGGGGAAUAUUGGGCAAUGGGCGCAAGCCUGACCCAGCGACGCCGCGUGAGGGAAGACGGUCUUCGGAUUGUAAACCUCUGUUGCAGGGGAAGAAUAAAGUGACGGUACCCUGCGAGGAAGCCCCGGCAAACUACGUGCCAGCAGCCGCGGUAAUACGUAGGGGACGAGCGUUGUCCGGAAUUACUGGGCGUAAAGGGCGCGCAGGCGGAUAUUUAAGUCAGCUGUAAAAGGCAUGAGCUCAACUCAUGUAUGCGGUUGAAACUGGGUAUCUAGAGUGCUGGAGAGGUAGGCGGAAUUCCCGGUGUAGCGGUGAAAUGCGUAGAUAUCGGGAAGAACACCGGUGGCGAAGGCGAAUGUCUGGCCAUGUACUGACGCUGAGACGCGAAGGUGCGGGGAGCAAACAGGUUUAGAUACCCCUGUAGUC